rnacentral:rRNA from 1 species
UACGUAGGGUCCGAGCGUUGUCCGGAAUUAUUGGGCGUAAAGAGCUCGUAGGCGGUUGGGUAAGUCGGGUGUGAAAACUCAGGGCUCAACUCUGAGACGCCACUCGAUACUGCCCUGACUCGAGUCCGGUAGGGGAGCGUGGAAUUCCCGGUGUAGCGGUGAAAUGCGCAGAUAUCGGGAGGAACACCAGUGGCGAAGGCGGCGCUCUGGGCCGGAACUGACGCUGAGGAGCGAAAGCGUGGGUAGCAAACAGG